rnacentral:rRNA from 1 species
UACGUAGGAUGCGAGCGUUGUCCGGAAUUAUUGGGCGUAAAGCGAACGUAGGCGGCCAUCUAAGUUUGGUCUUAAAGACCGGGGCUCAACCCCGGGAAUGGACUGAAGACUGGGUGGCUGGAGCGUGUUAGAGGAAAGUGGAAUUCCAGGUGUAGCGGUGAAAUGCGUAGAUAUCUGGAGGAACACCGGUGGCGAAAGCGACUUUCUGGGACAUUGCUGACGCUGAGGUUCGAAAGCUCGGGGAGCAAACAGG